GACGAACGCUGGCGGCGUGCUUAACACAUGCAAGUCGAACGGAAAGGCCCUGCUUUUGUGGGGUGCUCGAGUUGCGAACGGGUGAGUAACACGUGAGUAACCUGCCCUUGACUUUGGGAUAACUUCAGGAAACUGGGGCUAAUACCGGAUAGGAGCUCCCGCUGCAUGGUGGGGGUUGGAAAGUUUCGGCGGUUGGGGAUGGACUCGCGGCUUAUCAGCUUGUUGGUGGGGUAGUGGCUUACCAAGGCUUUGACGGGUAGCCGGCCUGAGAGGGUGACCGGCCACAUUGGGACUGAGAUACGGCCCAGACUCCUACGGGAGGCAGCAGUGGGGAAUAUUGCACAAUGGGCGGAAGCCUGAUGCAGCAACGCCGCGUGCGGGAUGACGGCCUUCGGGUUGUAAACCGCUUUCGCCUGUGACGAAGCGUGAGUGACGGUAAUGGGUAAAGAAGCACCGGCUAACUACGUG
rnacentral:rRNA from 1 species